CACGUAGGGUGCGAGCGUUGUCCGGAAUCAUUGGGCGUAAAGCGCGUGUAGGCGGCUCGGUAAGUCUGCUGUGAAAGUCCAGGGCUCAACCCUGGGAUGCCGGUGGAUACUGUCGAGCUCGAGUCCGGAAGAGGCGAGUGGAAUUCCUGGUGUAGCGGUGAAAUGCGCAGAUAUCAGGAGGAACACCAAUGGCGAAGGCAGCUCGCUGGGACGUGACUGACGCUGAGACGCGAAAGCGUGGGGAGCAAACAGG
rnacentral:rRNA from 1 species